AUUAACAAAAUUUAUUUAAUUGAAAUUAUAAGAAUUUCGCGGACUUGGAGCUUUUUUAAUUGGAAUGUAUAAAAUCGCCGCUUUUUUUAUAUUUUGCUGCAGUUUGCCAUUGGUGAUCGCUUUAACAUGCCCUGCCUGUUACAAUGAACAGGAGUGUCAGCGCCCCAGGAAUGUUGAGUGCAAUAAGCAAACUGUAACUGAAUGUCUUACAGCAGUUAGUAAAGUUAUUGCGGACUUUUCAAGAGACGGAGAUUAUCGAUGCUUGGACCUGCAAUAUAUGACCCGGGAAUUCAAAAAAGCCCGUAUAAAGGGUUGUGUGGUUGGUAGUUGUCCCUGUGGACGACCAGAGAGUGCCCGAAUUUCAGUCACUUAUGGUAGAUGUAUGUUCCUGUCCCUAUUCUAACGUCGGUAGUAGUAGCUCAAGCAGCCACAUCAAGCAGUUCACAUUCAAGCAGUUCACAUUCAAGCGGUUCACAUUCAAGCGGUUCACAGUCAUCACACACAUCAUCACAAUCAUCACAAUCAUCAAAUACUACCACAGAGGACUCGGCGAGUGAAUUAAGCAAAAGUUUCUUCACAAUGAUCGCUGCUCUACUUGGUUUAGUGCUGGGCUUUAAACUAUUAAUGAGGCAAUGAAAUAAACUAAAUAUGUGUGUGUGUGUGUUAUUUUAUUAUUAUUCAAACACACACACACAUCCAAAGUGGUUAUCAAAAUGCGUCAAAUGAAACACAGCUGAUUAAAAUAG